UUUUAAUAAACAUUUUGUUUUGCUUUUCAGGGACAAGUGAAGAGAACACUUUUUACAGUUGGCUAGAAGGUCUCUGUGUAGAAAAAAGAGCAUUCUACAGACUUAUAUCUGGCCUACAUGCAAGCAUUAAUGUGCAUUUGAGUGCAAGAUAUCUUUUACAAGAGACCUGGUUAGAAAAGAAAUGGGGACACAACAUUACAGAAUUUCAACAGCGAUUUGAUGGAAUUUUGACUGAAGGAGAAGGUCCAAGAAGGCUUAAGAACUUGUAUUUUCUCUACUUAAUAGAACUAAGGGCUUUAUCCAAAGUGUUACCAUUCUUCGAGCGCCCAGAUUUUCAACUCUUUACUGGAAAUAAAAUUCAGGAUGAGGAAAACAAAAUGUUACUUCUGGAAAUACUUCAUGAAAUCAAGAGGACUUUCGACUGCAUUUUAGAAAUAUUUCAAGAAUUAUGGAUUGUGUUGGUUGUUUUAAAUGUCGUCUGUGGGGAAAGCUUCAGGUAAGCAAAUUUAGUCAUUCCUAUUUCUCAUUUACCCUUUGCAUGAAUAAUUUUCUAAUUUUUCUUUUUUCCUUAUUUCUAUUACAGACUCAGGGUUUGGGCACUGCUCUGAAGAUCUUAUUUUCUGAGAAAUUGAUAGCAAAUAUGCCAGAAAGUGGACCUAGUUAUGAAUUCCAUCUAACCAGACAAGAAAUAGUAUCAUUAUUCAACGCAUUUGGAAGAAUUUCUACAAGUGUGAAAGAAUUAGAAAACUUCAGGAACUUGUUACAGAAUAUUCAUUAAAGAAAACAAGCUGAUAUGUGCCUGUUUCUGGACAAUGGAGGCGAAAGAGUGGAAUUUCAUUCAAAGGCAUAAUAGCAAUGACAGUCUUAAGCCAAACAUUUUAUAUAAAGUUGCUUUUGUAAAGGAGAAUUAUAUUGUUUUAAGUAAACACAUUUUUAAAAAUUGUGUUAAGUCUAUGUAUAAUACUACUGUGAGUAAAAGUAAUACUUUAAUAAUGUGGUACAAAUUUUAAAGUUUAAUAUUGAAUAAAAGGAGGAUUAUCAAAUUCAUAUAUGAUAAAAGUGAAUGUUCUAAGUCUCUCAAACUAGCGUUUUAUGUAAUAAUAUGUAAUAUAAAUAAAACUAUGGUAAAUGU
rnacentral:lncRNA from 10 species